rnacentral:rRNA from 1 species
GUGAGUAACACGUGGGUGAUCUGCCCUGCACUUCGGGAUAAGCCUGGGAAACUGGGUCUAAUACCGGAUAUGACCUCCUAUCGCAUGGUGGGUGGUGGAAAGAUUUAUCGGUGCAGGAUGGGCCCGCGGCCUAUCAGCUUGUUGGUGGGGUAAUGGCCUACCAAGGCGACGACGGGUAGCCGACCUGAGAGGGUGACCGGCCACACUGGGACUGAGACACGGCCCAGACUCCUACGGGAGGCAGCAGUGGGGAAUAUUGCACAAUGGGCGAAAGCCUGAUGCAGCGACGCCGCGUGAGGGAUGACGGCCUUCGGGUUGUAAACCUCUUUCAGCAGGGACGAAGCGCAAGUGACGGUACCUGCAGAAGAAGCACCGGCUAACUACGUGCCAGCAGCCGCGGUAAUACGUAGGGUGCAAGCGUUGUCCGGAAUUACUGGGCGUAAAGAGUUCGUAGGCGGUUUGUCGCGUCGUUUGUGAAAACCAGCAGCUCAACUGCUGGCUUGCAGGCGAUACGGGCAG